CUGAUGCCCGCAAAUUAGAUACAAUAUCCCGGAAAUCGCACGAGCGAGCGAGAGAGACACAUGUAGUGAUAUAAGCCGCGUCACAUUUCGGAGGCUGCGCAAUAAGACGCAGCUAUAGUAAGUUUUGAAUUGCAACAGAAUGAGCAUCCUCUGAUGAUUGGUCUCAUAUGCGCUAAAUAGACCAAUCAGUUGUCUCUGUGGGCGGGCAUACAGUCAACCUCUCCCUCUCUCCAUCUCCUGUCAGUUCAGACUGCCAGAGUUCUGCGUCUGCAGCCGCAAUGGCAUCUGGGAGUGUCUGCGAGAAGAGUGUCCGAGAAAAAGAAAAUCUAAAACUCACUUUACUCCAGACUACACUAAGGUGUACCCCUGCCUAAUAGGGGUAAAAAAUAAUGACAGUGUUGCUCGCUGCACUGUUUGCAACAGUGACCUUUCUAUUGCCCAUGGUGGGUUAAAUGACUGUAACAGACAUGUUGAGGAAUAAACAAGCCCUGAUCGGCAUGGCCACAAAACCAGUUGGAUUUUGACACUAAUGAGCUAUCAUAUGAGCAGCAGUUGUCAGUCUUCCUUUUCUCCCAUGGCCCGUAGCCUCGACAUGUGGAGCCAGCGCUGGAGGAGAAAACGUCUUUCUCACCUUUGAUCGUGUCUUCAGGCUGGUGUUAUCUUCAAACAAAUACACAAAUAAAUAAAACAUCCCGGGUGUGUAGCUCUAUGUGUGCACACUCUCAGGUGAAUGAGAAUGUCAGAGUGUAAAGCACAGGAAAGCGAAGGCCUUCUUGCGCUGUAGACUAUCUGAGCUCUCACUCCUUUCCCUUCACCCCAUGUGGCGCGUCUUUUAUGUGCUAUUAGAAUAAUGUGGGACUAAUUAGAGUGGCCGGCUUGAAAGCUGGAAUCUGGCUGUCAGAGGGAGGGCAGGGAGGCGCUAAUGAUUUAAUUUAAUUUAUUGAUUGGGAACGUGCGGGGGGAUUAAAGCAAACUGAUAAGGGGCAAGCGGCCAAUGCAGUUUGUAAUCUAUUGUGACGGAGCGUCAGGUGGAGAGACAGCAAUAAUUAGGGCAUUAUGGAAACAUGAAUAACUGCAGUGUCAGCUCUAAUGGGGACGAGAUACGAGGCUCUGGGAGAGUAGAGACGUCCGUGUCAGGACCGGGAGCCAGGCUGCGGGGUUUAGGAGUGGGGUAUGAGGCUAGAGAUGGACCUCGCUCUACAGAAGAGCAGGGCCAAACCACACAACAAACAAACAAAUAAUAAUAGAAAGAAAGAAAGGGCAGACUGCAUUUCAUGAUUAAAGUGCUACAGAGGAUGUGGAUCUUUGAAUGUCUGACAAACGAUAAAGGAAUAGCUGAGCCAAAAAUAAAAUUUACACCAUGUUUCACUUACCUCAAUGGUACAACCAAUGUUGCUAAAAAGCAUGAAAGGCUAAAUCAUCACACACUCGCCUCACAAGACAACGAUGGCUUCAGUGAUAUAAUUUGUGCAGAAAUAAUUUGAUAAAACAGCAGAAUAACUUCUGCAACAAAUGGGAUGUAAUUAACUGGCAGUUCUACUACAGCACUGCUGAAUUCUCGAUUGGUCAGAAGGGGUUGAUUCAUUUUCUAUAACAGCAGCUCUGACCAUAGUGCCAGCUGUAAUUCAAACAUUAAUGCACUCGUUCUAAUACGUUGUAAUUUCUAUAGUAACAUCUAAUUCACAGGGACGUGUAUAGACAGAUGCUCACAUAAUUUAAUAAUAAACAGAUAAAAAUGUGGUUAUAUAACCCUGUAACACACAGUUUUCUGUAAGGAGUGUUUAACAUUUCUGGAAGAUUUCAGUCAGUGUCGGUGUUUUGAUGUAAAGCUCAAGCUGUCUUCAGGAUGGAGGGCUUUCUGUUUUCUCUGUAACAUGACAAGCCUCAUUUUUUUGGCUUAUAUGUAAAAGAGGGAGGAAGAAAAAAGCUGGUGAGGGAACAACUAUUUAUAGCUGUUAUAAUGUAAGCUAGAACAGGAGCUAACUUGUUCUGCAGAUGUUCCACAACAUUAAACCUAACUGUAAAUGGAUAAAAUGUGUGAUGUGUCAUUCUUUGAUAUAUUUUUAUAACUUAUUAUAAAUUAUACACAUUAGUUAAUUGCUGUGGUAUAAGAGGAAUAAAACACUUCGGUAAAUUCGGUAAACGUUAUUGGAAAAUAAUCAACUUCGGGGUGGUAAAGUUACUGUAUUCACAUCACCCUUUUGUUGAUUAUUUUUCUAUAACAGCAUGCCAUGUUGUGUUUAUUAUUUGUAAGCAACAACAUCCUGGUUCUUAGAGUAUAUUUUGACAAGUUUGGCUAUGUGAGCUAUUUUACUAGCAGUUAGCUGGUAAGUUAAGUUAUCUGAUGUUAAUGAUAUUAGCCUUUUUAGGAUGACUGGUGGACAUAGAAGUGUUUCCAAAUAUUCUCCGGAGUUUUUAUGGAUCUAUAGUAUACUCAUAAAUUCUGUAAUACAAGUAUAGGUAUAAAGUGGACAUAAAAAGUCAUGAAACAAUGUGCUAUCCUACAUAGAUUAUUGUUUAAUGAUUAAAAAAUGAUAUGUUCAAGGGCACACUACAGUGUGUGAUUAUUAUGACAUGCAAUUUGGACAAUGCUAAACUGGCAGCUAUAAGCUUUCCUUACUUGUUAGCUACACUAGCCUUGUAGCUGUAGUGCAAAAUUAAACAAGCAAACAUCAGACACCAAAAGGGAAUUUUUUUGAAUGAACUGUUAAAACUGUUUACAACUGUUUAUACGGAAUGUAUAAGGUGCACUUUCUAAGUUCCGCAGAGGUGAUUAUAGCAUAAUAAUUAAAAAAACCCAAAACAACCAAGCCAAAAAAAAAGAAAAAAGAAGUGAUCUAAACUACAAUGGUACAUCUCCCACUGUGAGGAUGGCUUCUGAUGCUGUAGUCCUGGACUCAUACAUAGGACAUUGUGCUGCUUGCGUGAUGUCCCAGCAUGCCACGGGUGGUGGUCCCCCAGUGAUAGGAGGAUGGAGGUGCUUGUCGGUGUCGUCCAGCUCCCUGCAGGUGUGCAGGAGAAUGAAGCCCAGCGUGGCACUGUGUGUCCCACUGAGAGCACACUGCCUUAACCCGAGUCCUCCAGGAUUCUUUAUUUUUCUCUUUACAUUUGCAGGGUUUUUGUUCUUUAUUCUACAAUGCUUUGAGUCUUAUUCCGACAACAAUCUGAGGGAAUUGGAACAGACAGUCUGACCUAUGCUGGCAGGCCACAGAAGUGGAUGUCUGCUGAGGUUUUGAUUAUGAUUAAGCUGAAGAGAGUGAGGUAGCGGCUCAGGAUGGCACGGUGCAGCACCCCGCAAACAAACAAGAGCGUCUGGGUAAAAGACACGACAAAAGCAAGGACAAACAGCCGGUGUGAAAAGGCCUCAGAGCCGCUGGGCCUUCCCAGCAUGGCGAAUUUCAGCUAGAGACACUCCAGCAUGAUGCUGUUUUUCUCUUUGCAUGUUAGGAGGUGUUUUUUGGUGAACAAGAAUGAAGCUGACCCCUCUCUAACUCUUCAUUCUCCAUGAAAGAUCCAAAAGCAAGAUAAAUCCAUAAUUGGCACCGCAAGACAGCUAGAGGGAGGAAACAGAGAACGAGAGCUGAAGAAAGACGAUGAGAAAUUCAGCUGUGAUCCAAGAACUCUCCUCAGUCAGGGGGGUGUUGGUGUGUGGAGAACAGUUCUCAAGAGACUGAGAAAAUCCAAAAUGGUUAGCUUCUCCCGCUGAGCUAUCUCUGAAUACCACUGAGGAUUUUCACAUCCCUUUUUUUUGUAAGUCAGCCCUGCCCACUCCCUUGUACUUAUUUAUGAAAAUAUGAAAUGGCAAGCCUGUGCAAAAGACAAAUCAGAGUCGAUUAAGCCAAGAGUUGAGAUUUUUAUUCAACUAUAUACAUGUACCAACGGGUGACAAUUUAAAGGAAAAACCAACAUAAAGUGUGUUAGUAAGGUGUUUGGCCACCACGAGUCACUAGAACAGCUUCAGUGCACCCUGACAUCGAUUUGACAAAUGCCUUUUAUG